UGAGGAAUAUUGGUCAAUGGACGCAAGUCUGAACCAGCCAUGCCGCGUGAAGGAUGAAGGUCCUCUGGAUUGUAAACUUCUUUUAUCUGGGACGAAAACGGGAUUUUUAUCUCAAUUGACGGUACCAGAGGAAUAAGCACCGGCUAACUCCGUGCCAGCAGCCGCGGUAAUACGGAGGGUGCGAGCGUUAUCCGGAUUUACUGGUUUAAAGGGUGCGUAGGUGGGCUUAUAAGUCAGUGGUGAAAUCUCCGAGCUUAACUUGGAAACUGCCGGUGAUACUAUAGGUCUUGAAUUAUCUGGAGGUAAGCGGAAUAUGUCAUGUAGCGGUGAAAUGCUUAGAUAUGACAUAGAACACCAAUUGCGAAGGCAGCUUACUACAUAUAAAUUGACGCUGAGGCACGAAAGCGUGGGGAUCAAACA
rnacentral:rRNA from 1 species